rnacentral:rRNA from 1 species
UACGUAGGGGGCUAGCGUUGUCCGGAUUUAUUGGGCGUAAAGAGCGUGUAGGCGGCCAGGUAGGUCUGCUGUGAAAACUCGAGGCUCAACCUCGAGACGUCGGCGGAAACCAUCUGGCUAGAGUCCGGAAGAGGAGAGUGGAAUUCCUGGUGUAGCGGUGAAAUGCGCAGAUAUCAGGAAGAACACCCGUGGCGAAGGCGGCUCUCUGGGACGGUACUGACGCUGAGACGCGAAAGCAUGGGGAGCGAACAGG